CCUACGGGAGGCAGCAGUAGGGAAUAUUGCUCAAUGGGGGAAACCCUGAAGCAGCAACGCCGCGUGGAGGAUGAAGGUUUUAGGAUUGUUAACUCCUUUUGUUAGAGAAGAUUAUGACGGUAUCUAACGAAUAAGCACCGGCUAACGCCGUACCAGCAGCCGCGGUAAUACGGAGGGUGCAAGCGUUACUCGGAAUCACUGGGCGUAAAGAGGGCGUAGGCGGGGUAAUAAGUCAGAUGUGAAAUUCUGUAGCUUAACUACAGAACUGCAUUUGAAACUGUUACUCUGGAGUGUGGGAGAGGUAGGUGGAAUGCGUGGUGUAGGGGUAAAAUCCGUAGAGAUCAAGAGGAAUACUCAUUGCGAAGGCGACCUGCUGGAACAUUACUGACGCUGAUGCACGAAAGCGUGGGGAGCAAACAGGAUUAGAUACCCGUGUAGUC
rnacentral:rRNA from 1 species